GACGAACGCUGGCGGCGCGCUUAACACAUGCAAGUCGAGCGAGAACCAGGACUUCGGUCCCGGGGACAGCGGCGAACGGGUGAGUAACACGUGGAUAACCUGCCCUCGGCACCGGGAUAGCCCGGGGAAACCCGGAUUAAUACCGGAUGGCCCUUCCGGCUCACGAGCCGGUCGGAAAAGGUAGCUUCGGCCUCCGGCCGAGGAUGGGUCCGCGGCGGAUUAGCUUGUUGGUGGGGUAACGGCCUACCAAGGCUCCGAUCCAUAGCUGGUCUGAGAGGACGAUCAGCCACACUGGGACUGAGACACGGCCCAGACUCCUACGGGAGGCAGCAGGGGGGAAUCUUGCGCAAUGGGCGAAAGCCUGACGCAGCGACGCCGCGUGAGGGAGGAAGGCCUUCGGGUUGUAAACCUCUUUCAGGAGGGACGAAGCUACUCGGGUGAAUAGCCCAGAGGGUGACGGUACCUCCAGAAGAAGCCCCGGCUAACUACGUGCCAGCAGCCGCCGCCG
rnacentral:rRNA from 1 species